GACGAACGCUGGCGGCGGGCUUAACACAUGCAAGUCGAACGGAAAGGCCCUGCUUGUGUGUGGUGCUCGAGUGGCGAACGGGUGAGUAACACGUGAGUAACCUGCCCUUGACUUUGGGAUAACUUCAGGAAACUGGUGCUAAUACCUGAUAGGAGCUCCUGCUGCAGGGUGGGGGUCGGAAAGUUUCGGCGGUUGGGGAUGGACUCGCGGCUUAUCAGCUUGUUGGUGGGGUAGUGGCUUACCAAGGCUUUGACGGGUAGCCGGCCUGAGAGGGUGACCGGCCACAUUGGGACUGAGAUACGGCCCAGACUCGUACGGGGGGCAGCAGUGGGGAAUAUUGUCCAAUGGGCGGAAGCCUGAUGAAGCAACGCCGCGUGCGGGAUGACGGCCUUCGGGUUGUAAACCGCUUUCGCCUGUGACGAAGCGUGAGUGACGGUAAUGGGUAAAGAAGCACCGGCUAACUUCGUG
rnacentral:rRNA from 1 species